UACGUAGGGAGCGAGCGUUGUCCGGAAUUACUGGGUGUAAAGGGAGCGUAGGCGGGAAUGCAAGUUGGAUGUGAAAACUCCGGGCUUAACCCGGAGACUGCAUUCAAAACUGUAUUUCUUGAGUGAUGUAGAGGCAGGCGGAAUUCCUAGUGUAGCGGUGAAAUGCGUAGAUAUUAGGAGGAACACCAGUGGCGAAGGCGGCCUGCUGGGCAUUUACUGACGCUGAGGCUCGAAAGUGUGGGGAGCAAACA
rnacentral:rRNA from 1 species